rnacentral:rRNA from 1 species
CCUGGGAACUGCAUCCAAAACUGGCAAGCUAGAUUAUGGUAGAGGGUGGUGGAAUUUCCUGUGUAGCGGUGAAAUGCGUAAAUAUAGGAAGGAACACCAGUGGCGAAGGCGACCUCCUGGACUGAUACUGACACUGAGGUG